rnacentral:rRNA from 1 species
GGGCCCGCACAAGCGGUGGAGCAUGUGGUUUAAUUCGAUGCAACGCGAAGAACCUUACCUGGUCUUGACAUACACAGAAUCUUGUAGAGAUACGAGAGUGCCUUCGGGAAUUGUGAUACAGGUGCUGCAUGGCUGUCGUCAGCUCGUGUCGUGAGAUGUUGGGUUAAGUCCCGCAACGAGCGCAACCCUUGUCCUUAGUUACCAGCACUUCGGGUGGGAACUCUAAGGAUACUGCCAGUGACAAACUGGAGGAAGGCGGGGACGACGUCAAGUCAUCAUGGCCCUUACGACCAGGGCUACACACGUGCUACAAUGGUAGGUACAGAACGAAGCAAAACCGCGAGGUGGAGCAAAUCGCCAAAGCCUGCCCCAGUUCGGAUCGUAGGCUGCAACUCGCCUACGUGAAGGCGGAAUCGCUAGUAAUCG